rnacentral:rRNA from 1 species
GAUGAACGCUGGCGGCGUGCCUAAUACAUGCAAGUCGAGCGAACAGACGAGGAGCUUGCUCCUCUGACGUUGGCGGCGGACGGGUGAGUAACACGUGGAUAACCUACCUAUAAGACUGGGAUAACUUCGGGAAACCGGAGCUAAUACCGGAUAAUAUAUUGAACCGCAUGGUUCAAUAGUGAAAGACGGUUUUGCUGUCACUUAUAGAUGGAUCCGCGCCGCAUUAGCUAGUUGGUAAGGUAACGGCUUACCAAGGCAACGAUGCGUAGCCGACCUGAGAGGGUGAUCGGCCACACUGGAACUGAGACACGGUCCAGACUCCUACGGGAGGCAGCAGUAGGGAAUCUUCCGCAAUGGGCGAAAGCCUGACGGAGCAACGCCGCGUGAGUGAUGAAGGUCUUCGGAUCGUAAAACUCUGUUAUUAGGGAAGAACAAAUGUGUAAGUAACUAUGCACGUCUUGACGGUACCUAAUCAGAAAGCCACGGCUAAUUACGUG